ensembl:lncRNA
AGAAAAUUCAAAAGUAACAUUUUUUUUGUUGGAUAUUUUAUGUUCUUUAUGUAGAUUAGUUGAUAAUGCUAAUAUUUUUGCUGAAAAUGAUGGUAUUAAUACUGCUGUACAUAUUAUUAGAACAUUUGAUUAUGAUUUGAAUAUUUUAAUAUUAGCAAUUCAUUUGUUGAAUAAUCAAUGUAAAAUCGAAUCAAGUUUACCAAUAUUAGUAAAAGCAGAAGUUAUGAGUAUAUUAAUAAGUUGUAUGGAAGCAGAAAGUGAAGACUAUGAAAUUGUUGAAUUAGUUAUAUGUUCAUUACGAUGUGUUAGACGUAUGAUUCAGUCAGAGGAGUUGGCAUAUGAGUUUUGCAAUGCAGGUGGUAUAACAACAAUUGCUAAUAUGAUAUUAAAUUAUAUUAAUAAAUCAUUUAUUAUAUUAGAAGCGUUACGUGUUUUAUUAUGUGUGUUGUAUCAUACUACAAAUAUUGAAGGUGUAGUAAAUGAAUAUCCAGAAGAAGAAGAAGAGUUACAUAAUGCUAGAUUAGGUGGAUGGUACAAUAUAAGUAUGGAUAAAGAAAUGAUUGAUACUAUUAUUCAAUCUGUUAUGACAUGUGCUUUGGAUCCAAGUUUUGUAAAAAAUUUAAGAUUACAAAAAGUAACUUUAGGGUUAUUAGCAUAUUUUGGUUAUCAUAGAUUAGGUUAUAUUUCUAUGGCAGCAUCUGGAUUUGAUAGCUUAAUAAAAGAAAAUUUAAACAACUUUGCAGGAGAUCCAAUUAUUAUGCAAUUAAUAGCUAUAUGUAUUAAUAAUAUGGCUCUAAAUUCGAUAGAGAUAUAUGACACUACCAUUUCAAGAGAUAUAAUAAAAAGCUUUAAAAAUGCAGCAACUAAAAUACCUAAUAUUAAAGAUAAUAAAAGCAUAAUACAAAAUAUUAAAUUAACAACAGUUGCAAUGGAAUCAGCUAAAGAUCCUUCAAUAGCAUUCAAAGACACAUUAAUAACAUUUGAUUUUAGUUUAUCUGAAUUUGAUAAAGAUCCUUAUAUAAAUGGUGUACAUGAUUUACCUCCUGCUGUAAAAGAAACGUUGAGAAAAGGAGGGUUACAUAAGGUUUAUAAUAAGAGUGAUCAAAGAACUAACUUUAAAUGGAAAUCUACACAAGACUUAAAUGCAUUAGAAUGGAUUAUUGGAGAUAAUGAAGAACAUGUAUAUAAAAUCUCUAUAUCUCGUAUUAAAAAUAUAUCCAAAGGAUUGUCACAUCCUUUGUUAAAAGCUAGUAACAAGUUAGAACCUAGGAAAGUAACUGAAAAAGUCACUUUGUGUAUUUAUGGAACACCUACUGAGGAAUAUCCUGAAGGUUUGGAGUUGCCAAUGAAAUUGAAAACUCAGAAAGAGCGUGACGCAUAUGUAGAGUUGAUGAUUAUGUGGCGUGACGCAGCAAGUUAUAACUAAUGGGGCUGCUGGUAGAAUAGUUUUUACAUUAUGACGUCUUUUUUAUGACGUCUUUUUUAUGACGUCUUUUUUAUGNNNNNNNNNNGACGUCUUUUUUAUGACGUCUUUUUUAUGACGUCUUUUUUAUGACGUUUUUUUUAUAACGUCUUUUUUAUGACGUUUUUUUUAUAACGUAUUUUUUAUGACGU